rnacentral:rRNA from 1 species
UCUGGCCAUCUGCCUGAUGAGUAGGCGGCAUAGACUAUCUGGAAAUAAGUACGCUAAUGACUGCAUCAAGAGUCGCAUGGUCCAAAGUGGGAGAACCUUCUGGGCCUUCAUGCCCAUCAGAUGUGUCCCACGAUGCGAUUAAGCUAGGUAGGUGGGGGUAACUGCCCCACCAUAGGGCGACGAUGCCAUAAGCCUGAGUCUGAGAGGGAUGAUCCAGCCACCACUGGGAACUGAGACACGCUCCAGACUCCUACGGGGAGGGCAGCAGUAGGGGAUUAUUGCACAAUGGGCGCAAUCCUGAUGCAGCCAUCCGGCGUGAGUGAAGAAGGCUUUGGGUUUGUAAAGCACUUUCAGAGGGGAGAACGAGUGUAACGUUCAUAACCUGCACGAUUGACGUUCCCUGCAGAAGAAGCACGGGCUAACUCCGUCCCAGCAGCCGCGGUAAUACGGAGUGGCCAAGCUUUUAUGGAAAUUAUUGGGGGUAAAGCGCAGCCGGGCGCUUUGUCAAUUUGAAUGUAAAAUCCCCGGGUUCAACCUGGAAAGCCCAUUGGAAAUGGGCGGGCUAGAGUUUGGUAGAGGGGGGUAAAAUUCCAGGGGAAGCGGUAAAAUGGGUAGAAAUUGGGAGGAAUCCCGGUGGGGAAGGCGGCCCCCUGCACAAAGACUGACGUUCAGGUGCGAAAGGUUGGGGAGCAACCAGGAUUAGAUACCCUGGUAGUCCAGCCCGUAAACGAUGUCGAUUGGGAGGUUGUGCCCCCACCCGUGGCUGCCGAAGCUAACGCGUAAACAGACCGCCUGG